rnacentral:lncRNA from 1 species
UGGAUACUGAUCUCAUGUAGAGGAGCAUCAACAUAGAAAGCAAUGCAAUGUUAACUAUACAUUCGAAAAUAUUUAAAAAAUAAUUCAUAUAGCCUAUUCAUAAGUUGGCCUUCUUCCCUUCCCUGAUCUGUGAGAUUAAAUGGCACUUUCGCUGAGCAUGUGACAUGACAGAGAAAAUGAAAUAUAAAAUAAAAAAUCACAAACUCUAAUAUCUGAGUUACACUCUGAGACUCAGUCAUGUGCAUUUUUUAUGUGCCGCAACCAAAGCGCAGCCACUUGAUCUCUCGGCGGAGCUGCCUUGCGUGUUAAAGGAGGGAUAAACCUUUAAGAUUUUUGGCACCCACAGGGGGCCUGACAUCCUCACCAGUGGAUGUCAGUGUUCCAAGCGACAGAGGGGAGCGAGACCCGCUGAGAGCUGCCCUUCGCCUGAACCUGCAGUGCCAUUUUUUCCACACUCAUAAUAAAAAUAUAAAACCCUCCCCUCCUCAUCCCACCGAAUCCGUCUGAAGUUAUUUUGGAGCUGUCUGGGUUGACACGGUGCGGCUAUUGGCUGUCUCGGAAGGAUGGAGGACCUGCGAGGUGAUCCGCGUAUCUAUAUAGAUGAGAAUAGCACUGGAACACACACGCUUGCAAGCGUGAUCACUGAAGCAUCCAGCAAGAGGGAUAUAAGUUCAACAAUGGGACUCGGUUGCGUGCGAUGAGACUGCGCCAGCGGCAUGCCCUGUUCCUGGAUGUGACAUUAAAAGGGUAAACAAAUGUAUUGCUUUUACAGCUCUGUUCCUCUGGCAAAUGGCUAGUUUAGAUUCCGCCUUAACGAUGUUAAAUGGCCUAUAAGAAGCUGUAAAGUAAUCGCCCCCGGGCAUCGACACAGCCUUACACGCACCAAUGAGGAAUUUCACAAGUUACCUCAAGCAGAUUAACAUAUUGUGUCAGUGCUGAUAUUACCGAUAUUAUAGGUUGGGGCAUAUGACACAACAGUUUGCAGUCGCGAUAAACGAUUGCAGAUGAUGUCUCGGAAAAGGCCAUAGUACUAAUCCAAAAGCGAUCAAGGGCUCAGUGUUUUCUGGCCACCGAGGAGUGAUCUGUGUGUGUACCCAGAGAACAGAGUUACUCUUUGGAUUAGACUUGUAUCUCCAUCCUCUAGAGAAGUAUGAGAGAUUACAUUGGGUCUUCUAAUCAGAGACUGACCUAUAAAAUACACAGGAGCAGUGACUGCUAUGGUGCAACUAGGGAAAUGAGUCAAAGGCAAAAUAAGGUUUAGGCACUCAUGCCAAAACAUUUUAUAAAAUAAAAUAAAACCAAAAUGGGCA